GGUCGAUGAAAGUCGAUCGAUCAGCGACAAAUUUUUUAUGAGCUUGUCUCGUUCACAGGGCCUGUUUAUACUAGUGUUUUAUCUCCUAUUGGACAAGACGGUUCGGAAAGAGUUCAAGAAUGUGUACAUGCGCUGGAAGACUAAGGACAAGACAUACGGGAUACAGAAACCCACGCAGCAUUUUAAACGCUCCUAUCACCCAGGGGAGACGGCACCUCUCUGAUCCCCGUAUGAUUUUGACGACGAUGGAAACUUCAUUAGCAUAUCUACCACGGAGCCAUCCAGCAGCGGUUCCGUAGCAGUGUAACGAGUCGGUUCACCACAGACAACAGUAUCACUGAUACUAUAGGAGAUGAAGAUACCAGUGCAC